UAAUUCUUGUUUUAUAUCACUGGUGUGAUUGAGGAGGAGUGAGUAGGAUCUCAUAUCUAAGAGUUCUUAGGUAGAAGUCACAUGGGUAGAGAUUAAGUGAAAAGACUGUAACUUGAAGUUGUUUACUGAGAGUCUUUGAACUGAUUCUAUUUAGUGGAUUUCCUUCCUGGCUUGGUAACCCCUAGACGUAGGUGGGUUUGCACCGAACUGGGUUAACAAUUGCUUGUGUCUCUUGCAUUACCGUUCUUUAUCUUUUAUCCUGUUUG
rnacentral:lncRNA from 1 species